AUCGUUCUUAAAAAAAUGUAAUCUAAAAUUUUUAAUUUAUCCAUUUCAGAAUGUUAAUACAUAUAUUAAUAUUUCCUAUCAUUACAAUCCUUUCUUUUGAUUGAUUAUGCUUAAGGAAAUAUAAAUUUUAAUAAAAAUAUUUUCAUUUAGAGAGAAUAAAUAUAAGUCAUCAUUUUUUAUUUAUCUGAUAAAAUCCUAUAUAUGAAUGAAAAGUAUGUAAUAGUAAUAACAAACAGUAAAUUCAGUUUGUUCUCAUUAUUUACAAUAUAAUUAUUGUGACGAUUAUAUCACAAAGACAAAUUUCUUUCAUUUCUAAUUAAAUAAUGCUCGACCAACGUUACAAAUGAAUAAAUCAAUCUGGAGCAAUUAUAUCUUCUAACAAUGCAUAUUAAUAUUACAAUAGACUUGGGAAUUUUAUAGAUUGUAUUCUGUAUUGUAUCAUUGUAUUGUAUUGUAUUGUAUUGUAUACAAUAUGGCAAAUAUAUGGAAAUUUUACUUUAGAAAUUCAAAAUGUUAUGAAGUUGUUCUGUGGAUUGUUUUGAUAAGAGUUUAAAUAUAUUUUAAAAAGCAUUAUCAUAAUAUAAGAUAAAUGCCAAUUGAACUAUGACUCAUACCAAGAUGGCGAGUUGUUAAAUAACCCUAACACCUAAUUUUGAAAAUACUUAUGAGUAAAAGAUUGUACCGGACAACCUUCGUUAACAAAAUGGAUGUUGUAGGAGGAAGCGAAUUGGGAAUGCAUUUUAAUAGGAAUUUAAGGUUUAAUCCUCUUCCUGUAAUACCUCCAGGUUUAGAAUCUUUAUAUACAGCAUGUAGAAACAUAUAUCCACAACAACCCAAUCCUUUACAAGUUACAGCUGUAGUUAAAUAUUGGUGAGUAUUAUACAUGAUAUGCCCUACAUUAUGUAUUGUGAUAAAUAUUUGACAACUAAUAAAAAUCCUGGUAAAUAAUUACUAUCAAUAAACAUAUGAAACAAAUUGUUUAUCUCUAUAUAACCAAUGCUAUUUAAAUUUGCAAUAAAAUCUGAAAGUAUUUCAGAAGUUGUGAGUAUUAAACUAUGGUACUACAUGAUAUAUGAUCUGGCUAAGUUAUGUAUACAGUAUUUUCAAAAAUACACCUGCUCUAAAAUUAGGUUAUUGAAUGGAGAAUAUUACAAGGAUGCAUAAGUAUCGAAAUUUAAAAUUUUUAAAAGCUACAGCGGAGUUAGGAAUUCUAUUUACAUGGUUGAGAUAUCAUUUUAAACUGAUAGGAAUUACUUUUAGUAAUUUGUAUAUAUAUUAUUGUGGUGCUUUUAUGUUAUGGGUCUGCACAUUGUGUUCCGAUGUCGCGCCAUGCUCUUUCGGGUUGCCAGCUAUUGUGUUGCUUAUGGACUGAUGCAACAUAUUUAGAUUAUGAUUUAAAAUAAGUUUAAAUGAUAAAUGCAAUUUUAUGCAUUAAUGCAAAAAUUAAAAUUUAAGUAAGAAAUUUUUGUUUUUAUAAUGUUAAAUUUAUCUUGUUAAUUUUUUUAUAUACACUAUUGUGUAGGGUGAACAAAUGAAAAGUUUACUUGUGAGGAUUAUACUUAGGGUCUGUUCAAAAAGGCUUACUGGUUCAACUCUUUAGAUUGGUAUCAUUCAAAAAGAUAACCUAUAAAAUUUAUGGUGAUUUAUCGGUUGCUACCAGACUCGCUGAACUUCAAGAGUGGAUUAGAGAGUGACUGACCUAAUACUGAUGAGGUCGUUUACUGCUACCAACCACUUGAGUUGUAAGCAUUUCUAAAGACCUCCUUAGUGAUGUUGGGAGUUGG